CACCGCGGUUAUACGAGAGACCCAAGUUGAUAAAAAACGGCGUAAAGCGUGGUUAAGAAAAUUAAAUUAUAGGGUUGAAUGGUCUCAAUUUAGUUAAAUGUACUCGAAGCCAUGAAGCACAAUUACGAAAGUAGCCCUACCAAAAUGUCUGACUCCACGAAAGCCAUAGAA
rnacentral:rRNA from 2 species